rnacentral:siRNA from 1 species
AAAUGAUAGGCUUGCCCGGGUGGU